rnacentral:rRNA from 1 species
GGGAAUCUUCCACAAUGGGCGCAAGCCUGAACGAGCGAUGCCGCGUGAGUGAAGAAGGCCUUCGGGUCGUAAAGCUCUGUUGCGGGGGAAAAAAGGCAGCAUCAGGAAAUGGGUGCUGACUGAUGGUGCCCCGCCAGAAAGUCACGGCUAACUACGUGCCAGCAGCCGCGGUAAUACGUAGGUGGCAAGCGUUAUCCGGAUUUAUUGGGCGUAAAGGGAACGCAGGCGGUCUUUUAAGUCUGAUGUGAAAGCCUUCGGCUUAACCGGAGUAGUGCAUUGGAAACUGGGAGACUUGAGUGCAGAAGAGGAGAGUGGAACUCCAUGUGUAGCGGUGAAAUGCGUAGAUAUAUGGAAGAACACCAGUGGCGAAAGCGGCUCUCUGGUCUGUAACUGACGCUGAGGCUCGAAAGCGUGGGGAGCA